rnacentral:rRNA from 1 species
UACGGAGGGGGCUAGCGUUGUUCGGAAUUACUGGGCGUAAAGCGCACGUAGGCGGCUUUGUAAGUUAGAGGUGAAAGCCCAGGGCUUAACCCUGGAAUUGCCUUUAAGACUGCAUCGCUAGAAUCGUGGAGAGGUGAGUGGGAUUCCGAGUGUAGAGGUGAAAUUCGUAGAUAUUCGGAAGAACACCAGUGGCGAAGGCGACUCACUGGACACGUAUUGACGCUGAGGUGGCGAAAGCGUGGGGAGCAAACAGG